rnacentral:rRNA from 1 species
UUCUACGGCCAUGCCACCCUGAACAAGCCUAAUGUCUGAUUCUUGGAAGCUAAGCAAGGUCAGGUCUGGUUAGUACUUGGAUGGGAGAACACCUAGGAAGACUGGGUGCUGUAGGCA